AAAACGGCUGCCUUAGCAGCCAUUUUUUAAUUUAAAAAUUGAGCCU
rfam:Hyaloperonospora arabidopsidis Emoy2 Contig1689.0, whole genome shotgun sequence.